UGGGGAAUAUUGGACAAUGGAGGAAACUCUGAUCCAGCAAUUCUGUGUGUGUGAAGAAGGUUUUAGGACUGUAAAACACUUUUAGUAGGGAAGAAAAAAAUGACGGUACCUACAGAAGAAGCGACGGCUAAAUACGUGCCAGCAGCCGCGGUAAUACGUAUGUCGCGAGCGUUAUCCGGAAUUAUUGGGCUUAAAGGGCAUCUAGGCGGUUAAACAAGUUGAAGGUGAAAACCUGUGGCUCAACCAUAGGCUUGCCUACAAAACUGUAUAACUAGAGUACUGGAAAGGUGGGUGGAACUACACGAGUAGAGGUGAAAUUCGUAGAUAUGUGUAGGAAUGCCGAUGAUGAAGAUAACUCACUGGACAGCAACUGACGCUGAAGUGCGAAAGCUAGGGGAGCAAACAGG
rnacentral:rRNA from 1 species